rnacentral:rRNA from 1 species
CAAUAGCGUAUAUUAAAGCGGUUGCGGUUAAAAAGCUCGUAGUUGGAUUUCUGUCAAGGACAACUGGUCCGCCCUCCGGGUGAGCACAUAGUUUGGUCUUGACAUCUUGCUGGAAGCUGUUGCUGCACUUGGCUGUGUGGCGCAGUGUUCAGCACUUUCACUUUGAGGAAAUUGGAGUGUUUCAAGCAGGCACAUGCCUUUGGACACAGUAGCAUGGAAUAAUUAGAUUGGGCUUUUGCUCCAAUUUGUCGGUUUCUGGAGCUGAGGUGAGUAUUAAUGGGGAUUGUUGGGGGCAUCCGAAUUUAGCCGUCAGAGGUGAAAUUCUUGGAUCUGCUAAAGACGGACAACUGCGAAAGCGUUUGCCCAGGAUGUUUUCAUUGA